UAAUUUAUAUUUUAAUUAAGAUUAUUAGAAAUUUAUUUUUUAGUUAUGAUUGGGGUGAUUUUUAAAGAUUAUUAAUCUUUAAAAUUUUUUAAUAAAAAAGUUCCAUUAGUAGUGAUUUUUUGAUAAAAAUACUCUAGGGAUAACAGCGUUAUUAUUUUGGAUAGUUCAUAUAGAUAAAAUAGUUUGCGACCUCGAUGUUGGAUUAGGAUUCUUUUAUGAUUAAGAAGUUAUAAGGGAGAAGUUUGCUCAACUUUUAAAGUCCUACUUGAUCUGAGUUCACCCCGGG
rnacentral:rRNA from 1 species